AGGACUGUAGUUAAGCAUAACAUUUGGUUUGCAUCCAAAAAGUAUUGGUUUAUCCAAUCUGUCUUA
rnacentral:tRNA from 1 species